GUUUGUCUGGUACCCUGACAUACACAAAGCCUGACCUUUGGCCCGCUUUCUCACCAAUAAACUCCAGCCCCAUUAGGGUGCCCGCCUUGCCUCAGUCCCGCCAUGAGCUUCCUCCAGGCCUCAGGAGGUUAAGGGGGAUCAAGCUAGGAACAGGGUUCUGAGUCUGACAAAGUCGACGCCUCUGGCAGCUAACAGUGAGCCUCAGAUGCCUUAGGCAGCUGCAGGCCUGAGUCACUCUUGCAACCCAAAGCGGUGGACUGCAGGUGGACAAGAGUGUUCAAAAGGAACAUCAAGGUGCUGUGACCAGAAAGGAGAACAAGGCUGGGUGUGCCCACCUGAGUGAUGCCCACAGUUGUCUGUCCCCGGGGAGGACGUGGAGAGGCACAGACAAGAAGAGAUUGGUCCAGACUCUUUUGACUACACCAGUCGGUCUCUAGUCACGUUGUAUAUCUUAGUUGCAGGUCCUUCUAGUUGUAGGAUGUGGGACGCCGCCUCAACGUGGCCUGAUGAGUGGUGCCAUGUCCACACCCAGGAUCCGAACCCUGGGCUACUGCAGCGGAGCGUGUGAACUUAACCACUCGGCCACGGAGACGGCCCCAGUUUUACUGUACUUUUAAACAUCUUCCAAGACAAAGCUGGGACUGCCUGAGCACAGGGCUGGCACAUCUGGGAACCGCAAGAGACCAUUCAGUGUGGAGUUCAGAGGUCUCCUGGGCAUCUCUGGCUGGUGAGCUCAUCAUCUUCUCUCCCCAGCAUUUUCGUCUCACUAAUUGGCCCCAACAUCCAUCUGAUCACCUGGAGCAGAAGCAUCCACGAGACCGACAAGUGCUUGUGGAGCACCCAUUUCUAGCAUCAUCUCACCCAGUUCACUGUCUAGGUCCUGUUCUCCGUGAACCACUGUGUUCUUCUGCGCCUGAAUGCCUUUACUUAUGCUGUUCCCUCGGCCCCUUCUUCCUCGGCACUCGUGAAUAACUCAGCUUCAAGGCUCACCUCUCCCCUGGAAGACUAUCGUCCCCCGUCUUCUGUACAUCUCCCUCCCAGGGCCCUGUGUUAAUUUCUCCGACUGUAGUACAAGGAUUUGUUUGACUUCCCUCCUAGACUUAAGAAGUUCUUAGGAUCACAGGCCGAGGAAUGUAGCAGCCUCUGGAAGCUGGACAAAGCAAGGAGCUAUAUUCUCUUCUAGAACCUUCAAUAGUACAGUUCUGCUGACCCAUUUUGGAUUUCUAACCUCCAGAACUGGUCAUAGUAGAGGGAGCAGUCUGAGUGACCACAUGGGGACAUGUCAACAUCCACGCUUCCUUAGUUUCUGAGCUUUCAGAAGUGACCAGGUUUGUUUGCUGACCCAUCACUCCUUCCCAGGAUGCACUGCAAGAGAAACAAAAGAAAGGUCCUGUGAAGUGUCAAGUUGCGACUUGCUCUUCGCCCAGAGAGAACCUUCUUCACCAACAAUUACCACAUCAUCGUAAACACUCGGGAGAGACAUGAUGUAAAAAUGAAAUUACUGAAAACAUUUUUGGACUAACACUUGGCUUUAUAUAAACUCACAGACAAUCCUAUAAGGCACUCAAGCAGAUUAUGGGUUUGAGCAAAGCUGGAAAAUUGCUGCCAUUAUAUUGUUAUUAUUAACACCUUGUAAUUAGCCCUAAGGAAUCCCAAAGUUCUCUUUCUUGAUUUGGCUUUAAUGAAGGAAAAUUGCUACCUUUGCAAGUUGGAUGGCGCCCGUUCUGAUUAACCUUAAGUAUAUAGGACUAUUAUUUUGAAAAUGUUUGCUGUCAUGUGAAUAUUAGCAUUACAUACAACUGGGAAGGGGCUGGGGCUGGGAAGGUAGAGAGGAGGAGAUCCUCUUUUCCCUUCUCCUUCUUUCCGCCCCCCCACCCCCCCACCCCCAAAGGAAGGUGAAUCAUGGCCUUACUUCAGCUGUGGUCCUUGCUUGGAAAAUCAAGAAUGAAAGCCCUGUGAAGGCCAUGACCGCAAUUGCUUGGUCUUUGCCAAGCUCCACUGGCAAGGCUGUGGGCUGCCGGCUUCUCAACCUGUUGAUUGCACAGGCUGGCGGGGUAAUUGUACACGGUGGUUUUACCAUUACCUGGAGAGGGACCCUAUGGGGAUGAGAUCAUACGGGAGUUAGCACCUAGUGCCAUAAAGCAGGUUUUAUUUGCAUGUCCCAGAACUCUCCAGAGGCCCCUUCUGCAGCCUUCACAGGCACCGUGUCUCCAAUGAAACGCCGCCAACGUUAAUAAAAGAUCCCUCUAUAUAUCCCUCAACUCCCCUCCCACAGGCAAGUAAGUGCACUGUUUUCAUUACCUUCUCUGGGAAAACCAUACAUUAAAGAGAAGUCGUUUGAUCUUAUCUAUAAUUAAUUUGUAUUUUGAUAAUAUAGAGAAGGGAUUUUUACAUGUGAUGACUUACCUGUUCAUUAUUUUUCUCUUUUGAACUCCUGUAACCGCUUAAUAACUCAAGCUGCAGCAUGGCGGGUUAUGACGGUCUCCCCGCCCACCUUUCCGGAAGGGGAAGGUGUUGCCUCUCACACAGAGACAAAUUGC
rnacentral:lncRNA from 1 species